GAUUUCAACUGAAAAAGUCAUCAAUAACAAAGUUGUAUAAAUCAACAAGAUCUAUAACUUUUAUUUUGAUCAUUUAUUCAUCCGAUAAAGUGAUUUGUAAGAUUGUUCACGAAAUGUGCAUAUCAUAUAGUUUAUAAAAAAUAUAUAGUUUAUAAAAAUAUCAGAGAGAUGUACAUUUUGUGAACAAUCUUAUAAAUAACUUUAUCGGAUAAAGAAAUAACUAAAAUAGAAGUUAUAUAUCUUGAUGAGUUAUACAACUUUGUUGUUGAUGACUUUUUCAGUUGAAAUC
rnacentral:pre_miRNA from 1 species